rnacentral:rRNA from 1 species
CUCUGAGGGAUGAAGGCCUGUGGAUUGUAAACCUCUUUUCUCAAGGAAGAAUAGAUGACGGUACUUGAGGAAUCAGCAUCGGCUAACUCCGUGCCAGCAGCCGCGGUAAUACUGAGGAUGCAAGCGUUAUCCGGAAUUAUUGGGCGUAAAGUGUCCGUAGGCGGUUUUACAAGUCUGCUGUUAAAGCGUGGGGCUUAACUCCAUAAGGGCGGUGGAAACUGUAAGACUAGAGUGAGGUAGGGGUAGAGGGAAUUCCCGGUGUAGCGGUGAAAUGCGUAGAUAUCGGGAAGAACACCAGUGGCGAAAGCGCUCUACUGGGCCUUGACUGACACUGAGGGACGAAAGCUAGGGGAGCGAAAGGGAUUAGAUACCCCUGUA